GACGAACGCUGGCGGCGUGCUUAACACAUGCAAGUCGAACGGAAAGUCCCUGCGUUUGUGUGGUGCUCGAGUGGCUAACGGGUGAGUAACACGUGUGUAACCUUCCCUUGACUUUGGGAUAACUUCAUGAAACUGGGGCUAAUACCGGAUAGGAGCUCCUGCUGCAUGGUGGGGGUUGGAAAGUUUCGUCGGUUGGGGAUGGACUCGCGGCUUAUGAGCUUGUUGGUGGGGUAGUGGCUUAUCAAGUCUUUGACGGGUAGCCGGCCUGAGAGGGUGACCGGCCACAUAGGGACUGAGAUACAGACCAGACUGAUACGGGCGGCAGCAGUGGGGAAUAAUGCACAAUGGGCGGAAGAAUGAUGCAGCAACGCAGAGUGCGGGAUGAAGGCAUUCGGGAUGUAAACCGAUUUCGCCUGUGACGAAGAGAGAGUGACGGUAAUGGGUAAAGAAGCACCGGCUAACUACGUG
rnacentral:rRNA from 1 species